CGGAGCGCGCGCACCCAAAGAGGACGCUAUAUCACAUGCGAUCGCGAGCAUCGAGUCAUCGAUUUGAGCUCUCUUGGCUGCCGUCGUAAAAAAAAGUUGCAAAAGAAGGAUUCUGCCAAAAUACUUUAUUCUAUCAUCGCGCAUCAAACUAACACAUUCUACCAAAACCAAAAACACAGAUAAGCUUUUGUGCACCCCGUUGUAUAACAACGAGUUGAAAUCCUUGAAACUUUCCUUGUUCAUCUCGUCAGAUUUCUUAGCUGCUUUUGCGUUACGCACUAAGCUAGAUCAGAAGACACGCAAGCAUUUCUUGCGAAUUCAAUCUGAAAGUCAUCGUCGCCGCCGUCAGAGAGACCAUCGGUAACACAUCGGCCGCAUUACUUAACCCUACCAACAUCUGCUCUGAUUGAAAGAUGCUGGCACGAAUCGCUGUGAUCCUGGUACUUAUGCCUCUACUAAUGGCUAAGGCACGCGGCGACGAAAAAUUAACUCCUAAUCAAAACUUCCUCAUCAGCCCCCAAUGGCAGCAGUUGCUGCAGGGGCACCCGCGCUGGCCUGAAGGCCAUUCGGAUGCAAACGAGGAUUACCCCGAUUCGGAAAUUGGAGUGGCCGCGCAGUCAGCGGCCAGGCGCUUCUUACGAGCCACCGACCUGCUAAAAGCCCUUUCCGACAAGCGUAACUUUAUCACGCAGAUCCGACAGACGCGUUUCAAGGACUCAGCUUACGCACCCGCGUUAACCCCCAGCGGACGACCGUACGGAACUCCGCUCCGAUGGGGCUAAUGGAAUAGAAACAAGAAAGCUACGCCAAUAACAAUGACAAUAACGGCAGCAACAGUGAACUGUACAACCAGACGAAAAAGAUUGAAGACAGUGUAAUAAAUACAAAAGAACAAAACAACAAUAGCAACAAGCAAAUGACACAGGACAAGCUCGUAAAAGCUAGUUUUCUAGAGGAAAUUAAAAGAUGGGUAGUAAUCUCUAAAAGCAAAUGUGGACUAAACAACAACACUAGCACGGUACUGAUUCUGCCAGAUCUCUACCAGUUCUUCGCCAUGCGCUCAUUUGCCAAUUUGAUUAGAUGUAACCCUAUGGAAGGCAAGGACGUCAGUGGCAAAAUUCAGUCAUUUGGCGUGUAAACUAGCUGAAUCGGCACUUGUAAUUACUUGCAGCAGGAAUAAUCUAAAAAAAAGAGUUCAAUUCAUGAAGUAGAUUUACCCUGUUGUCUCGAACUCCUUGUUCCACCUGGUCAAUCGAUCGGUUGGCUGGAACCCGGUCGCGCAUGUUCCGGGUCUGACAUAUUGCCCCUCUUCCUUUUUUCGACCUAUUGAAAAUAUCGCUGGCUUUGGUUAAUUCCGAUUCACUCAAGAAUAUCGCUAUAUUCUAGACCUGACUAGCUGGCAUUUGUAUAUCUCUUUUACUAUUUAAAAAGGAUAAUUGAUACGAUCUCGUCGGAGCCAUAGGUUAGGUUCCUUCUUAAGCUGAAAUCCGCAUAUGUGUCCCCAUAGGUGCACUUGCUCUGGUGUAAUGGUCAAAGCUAAACAGAAUGAGCUUAACUUUGUGUUUAUUACAAUCAUUGCAUUGUUUUCAAUGUCUUACUCUUGUUUACAUGAAAGGGAAUCCUGGGAUUAUUUCGAUCGGGAAUAUACUUAAAAAAAAACAAUAAAAAUAAGUGAUGAUUAUUUCUUCGAAAACAGCUAAAGCCAUGACUUAUCUUUGCCGUGAUGUAAGCUCUCAAGCUUACUUUAUUCAGGAAACUUUAAACGCUUUCUUCCGUUUCUCAUUUAACUAUCAUCGUAUAUUUGAAAAAUCAAGAUCGUCUACGAUAAGUUAUGAUACAGCCACUAAUCAUAGUUUUCUUUCAAAGUAGAUUAAAAGUUUCGAGUUUCGUGUUGGAUACUGCUGUUAAGCAUCGCUUCCGAUGGCUACCUUCUAACGCGAACCAAAGUACACUUACUUUAUAAGGUUUCUAACCUAGCUAAUCUUAUAUGUUAAGCCUGGUAGGGAGAUACGUCAGCAAAAGUAGCGACAAUACGAGAUAGACAAUGACUCCGUUUUUUUGUCUGAAUUUGAUUUUGAUUCCCUUGACUACGUCUGUCUGGCUAAACGUUUAUGUACCAUCGUUUGCCUGCCUGUUAAAGCUCAGACAAUGAUAAAUAUAUUGACAGGCAACACAGCGCAGCUACACAAAUAUAAGUGGUAAAUAUUAGGGCCUGAUAGGACCAAACACCGCAAUCCUGGGGGCCCCUCGAGUACGAUUACUACCAUUUUUUUCUGAAUCUAUAUCUGACUUUUAAUUCCUGCUUUUUGUGGACUGAUUUACCCAAGAUAUAAAUUCUAAGGUAUUAUUACGGGAUCAUCGACAAGAAGACGUAUAGCAUAACUGGACUUGAGUUGUGCGCUGAAACCCGCGAAGGUCAGGCUUACAUUGCGCAGUGUCAGCCCCGAUAUAAGGCACUAUGUUCCAUAUUUCUUUCACUCGCUCGUUGACUAUCCGCACUGCAAAUUUGCUAGAUUUACCUAGACUUUUCCAGCCUAUGAAAUAGCAUGGUGUUCCAUUAUGGCUACUUAUGAUAAUAAUAAUAAUAAUACUGCUAUAAUUCCAAUUAGCAGGCACUUACAGAACGCCCGCGUCUCAGUCGCGCAGUCGCCGACUUUCACUUAGUAUAAGGAAGCCCAGCAGUUUAUCUUGCAACCGUUGUAGUAUUGUCUAUAUACACACUUAUAUAUAUAUAUAUAUAUAUAUAUAUAUAUAUAUAUACAUGCGUGUGUGUGUAUGAUACUUAAACACCGAGUUUAGAGGACAACCCCGUCAUCUCCUGUGACAGCCAAAAAAAACAGUUUUAUUUAAUCGAAACGUGACAAAGACGCUAAUACGUUUUCUUUUUGGCUUUUUAACCACUCUAAUAAAAGUUGGUCUCAGCAACACUGGCUGCUGCUAGAACAGCCCAACGGAAAAAAUAGAAGUUUGUAAGUGCUACAAAGAGUGGAAUACGAAGUCCCAUAGAAACGAAGAUUUAAGAAUAAUAGUAUAAUCAUUGCAUCAUUUGCACAUGUUACUAUUUGCUGUAGUAAUAGAUUCAAAUCACAUGAAGAAUAUCCAUAGUGUUAUUAUUUUUGAAAACCUAAUAGAUAUUUCUCCUCUAUUCCUAUUAAAAAUAAGAAUAAUAUGAAUUAUAGAUCAAAUUAUUAACAAGAUGAUAUUAAUAAAUUGUUGACCAGUUACGACGACGACAGUGCACACGUUUAAAACAAACAAAAAAAAACGCAGAUACAGUGUGUUGAUAAAUACAGAACGAAAUACGCAAGCAGACGAUGUAGCAGACCAAAAUCGACAAAUCAAAAUACGUAUCGAAUUAAAGCUAACCGAACUAACACAGAAAAACAAGUGCUGACUUUUUCAUGGCGCUCAUAGCACAAUCUAUCAACGCGCAGACGAUAUGUAAACAAGCAAUGAAAGAUCAAAGCAGAAUAGCGAACGACAAGCGGGUAAGGCCACAGCAAAUGAAAAACUGUUGUCAAAACAUCAUCUUAAGUGUGUUUCAUUUAAUCUCUGUUUACUUCUGCAACAACGUCGAUUCAUCGACAAAAUCGAGAAGAUCAACCGUCAGCAGCCAGGCGUAAUGCGAUUGGCGAAAACCGAAACGGUCGAAGAGAUCAUCGUCCGCAAGACUCAUCGCAAAAGUGACCCGCCUCAUCAGCCUACGUACAUGUUACGCGAUUCAUCAAAAGGGUAGAAAUGAUACCACCUUCAAA